GAUAUUAAUAUCAUUAAUAAUAAUCAACCCCCCUCCCACCCCCCGCCGAGCUCUUUCAUGUCUGCAGCGGCGGCGAUGGACGGAGGAGAUGCGCCCUCCGCCGCCCGGAGAGCCUGCACCGGCCUGCCAGCCACCGCCGCGGGCUGCCGGCGGAGCGUGUGAAGAACAGCAGAAGCAGAAUAAAGACCUGACUCAUCACUCCGUCUCCAGCUUACCCUUAAAAAUCUGAAAAAAAGCCUACACAGUACAUUGCCAAACCCAUGUGUCUCUACAAAGAUGAAGACAAGUCAUUUUGCUGGGAACAUUGGACCAGCACAGAGGAAUCCUGUGUUCAAGGACUUGGUCUUACUGGGUGCUUAGCUUUGGGACUGAAAUAGAAACACCACCACAACACAGAACAAGCUGCUCUAUAUGGACAACUCUGAUUUUCGAAGCGCUGCUGGAGUAAUCUGCUGUUAACACAAUUUCGGGUAAUAAAUGGAGAAAAGAUGCAGCUCCUUUUUCCUGCACUCCCGCUGCAGAGAAGGGUGAUGCUUAACUUUAGGGAGGGUCUUCGCAUCCAGCGUUGCCUCCACCAAAUUUCCCCUCAAUCCAUGGGAUCCCGUCUGUGGGUACCGUAUCUUGCAGCACUGAUGGGAAAGCACGCGCUUUCCUGCCUUUGCAUCAUUAGAUAGCCCAACAACGCGGUGACACUUGAGGUUUUCC